ACAACAUCAGCUGCCGUGAUAAUCCUUGAUUGGAACUUGGGAGCUUGCUUGUAUGGUUUUAAGCUUCUGAUAAGUCGAGUCGUCGUACUUUUUGUUGCUGGUACAUCUCGGGUGUUCCUGAUCUGUUUUGGAGUUCAUUACUGGUACUUUGGACAUUGUAUCAGUUAUGCAGUUGUAGCAUCUGUGCUGUUGGGUGCUGCUGUUUCACGGAAUUUAUCAGUUACAGACCCAUUAGCAGCUAGACGAGAUGCAUUGCAGAGCACAGUUAUCCGCCUUAGAGAAGGUUUCUGCAGAGAAGACCAAAAUAGCUCCGCAAGUUCUUCUGAGGUGUGUGGUUCAAGUGUCAAACGCAGUAGUAGUGCUGAUGCUGGUCAUCUUGGUAAUGCAACUGUGCCUUGCACUGGUGAUGACAGUACCUGGAAUAACAUUGAGGGGAUUAAUAGUGAUAAGAGCAUAGACAG